rnacentral:rRNA from 1 species
UGGGGAAUAUUGGACAAUGGGCGCAAGCCUGAUCCAGCCAUGCCGCGUGAGUGAAGAAGGCCUUAGGGUUGUAAAACUCUUUCGCCGGGGAAGAUAAUGACGGUACCCGGAGAAGAAGCUCCGGCUAACUUCGUGCCAGCAGCCGCGGUAAUACGAAGGGAGCUAGCGUUGUUCGGAAUUACUGGGCGUAAAGCGCACGUAGGCGGACUUGUCAGUCAGGGGUGAAAUCCCAAGGCUCAACCUUGGAACUGCCUCCGAUACAGCAAGCCUAGAGAUCGGGAGAGGUGAGUGGAAUUCCUAGUGUAGAGGUGAAAUUCGUAGAUAUUAGGAAGAACACCAGUGGCGAAGGCGGCUCACUGGCCCGAUACUGACGCUGAGGUGCGAAAGCGUGGGGAGCAAACAGGAUUAGAUACCCACGUAGUCCCUGAGCGGGCUGGCAAGGCGCAU